GACGAACGCUGGCGGCGUGCUUAACACAUGCAAGUCGAACGGAAAGGCCCUGCUUUUGUGGGGUGCUCGAGUGGCGAACGGGUGAGUAACACGUGAGUAACCUGCCCUUGACUUUGGGAUAACUUCAGGAAACUGGGGCUAAUACCGGAUAGGAGCUCCUGCUGCAUGGUGGGGGUUGGAAAGUUUCGGCGGUUGGGGAUGGACUCGCGGCUUAUCAGCUUGUUGGUGGGGUAGUGGCUUACCAAGGCUUUGAAGGGUAGCCGGCCUGAGAGGGUGACCGGCCACAUUGGGACUGAGAUACGGCCCAGACUCCUACGGGAGGCAGCAGUGGGGAAUAUUGCACAAUGGGCGGAAGCCUGAUGCAGCAACGCCGCGUGCGGGAUGACGGCCUUCGGGUUGUAAACCGCUUUCGCCUGUGACGAAGCGUGAGUGACGGUAAUGGGUAAAGAAGCACCGGCUAACUACGUGC
rnacentral:rRNA from 1 species